UGAGACCCGAGUCCCCAGGAGAGCGGAAGUGGAGGAGCAGCCGGAAGUAGCCAGAAUCUCCGACUGACCGACUGGCUUUGACGCUCUCCGGAGGUGCUCAGAGGCGGUGGCCGCCAUGGAGUUGGGCGAGCUUCUCUACAACAAGUCCGAGUACAUCGAGACGGCAUCUGGGAACAAAGUUAGUCGCCAGUCAGUGUUGUGUGGAAGCCAGAACAUCGUUCUCAAUGGCAAGACAAUCAUAAUGAAUGACUGUAUCAUCCGAGGGGAUCUGGCAAACGUAAGAGUUGGACGCCAUUGUGUUGUGAAAAGUCGUAGUGUCAUAAGGCCACCAUUCAAGAAAUUCAGCAAAGGUGUUGCAUUCUUUCCCUUACAUAUCGGGGACCAUGUCUUUAUCGAGGAAGAUUGUGUGGUCAACGCAGCUCAGAUUGGUUCUUACGUUCACGUUGGCAAGAACUGUGUGAUUGGGCGCAGAUGUGUGUUGAAAGACUGCUGCAAAAUUCUUGACAAUACAGUGUUACCUCCAGAAACCGUGGUCCCACCAUUCACCGUCUUCUCAGGCUGCCCAGGGUCUCACCAAGUUGCCCAGGCUGGCCUUGAAUUUUCGAUCUGCCUGCCUCAGCCUCCAGAGUAGCUGGAAUUACAAACAUGUGCCACCAUAUCCAGAUUCUCAUGAAGGAUUUCUGCAUGGGAACUUAAAGGACUCUUCUCAGGGGAGCUUCCAGAAUGUACUCAAGAGCUGAUGAUUGACGUCACCAAGAGCUACUACCAGAAGUUUUUGCCCCUGACACAAGUCUAGUGUUUCUGCUUCAUGUCUUGAAUUUGUUUGAGCUCUAAGAUGAACUUGGGGACGAAGUGAGCAUCAGCAUCUCCAGGAGCUUGUGCGUGUUUGACGCUUCCUCCCUUCUUUAUUUUAUUUUUUAAAAUUGAGAAUGUUUCAAUACUUCACGGCUCUAAGCUCUUAAGGAUUUAAUAAGAGAACAUCUGGAGGAGUCGGCUCCACAUGCUGUGCUCACACCUUAUUUGUCAACCGUCACUUCAUCCCAUUAUCUGUGGAACACAGAGUUGACCUUCCUAACUCUGCAACACUCCCGGCACCGUGGUCCCUCGGAUGGCUAGAUCCAGGCUGAGAGGGGCCUGCAGGGCACAGCACUCCCCCAGGGUGGAGGUAACAGGGCAGGUAUGCUGCUCAUGGCCACGCCCCCUCAUGGCACCCCACUCAGAGGACGCUCAGCUCUGUUGCUGCUGAUGUGUUUGACCAGUGGCCACAAUUGCUCGUAAUCCUGGAGAAAGUGUGACUUCUGAGCCCUGAUUCCUGUUGCCUGUUGGUGGUUAGUGUGUCUCUUCCCCAAAUUACCUUACUGUCCCGAGGUGGUUAAUAAAAGACUUUCUAGCAUUCUGUUCCAGGGCCUUUGGCUUUCCCUAUAAGAGAAGACCUUAGCACCCCACAGUUUGUAUUUGCAAAGUUCCAGGUUUGAGUCUCCCAUGUAAAUGGAUUAGUCAGGUAGUCACUCCUUGCCUCAAAGUAUUUGUCGGAUUUCACUGAAAACAAAGCAUUUGUGAACACUUGCUCUCUGACCUAGAACCAUUCGACCUACCCCGUAUUUGCCUGAAACCUCACAGGUCAUAUGUAUGCAUGAGUGGCUCUUAAAAUUGUCUGGCGGGCACAGAGCCCAAGGAGUGACAUGGCCAGCGGUAUUCUUACCAUCUCCUCUGGCCAGUCGCACCACCCUUCCUGGUCCUGCUCUGACCUCUUGGCUUAGAAAGGAGGUUUAGAGUGAGGAGCUGAGAAGGUUGGCCUCCUCGGGACUCUGUCCUGCUGAAGGUGAAUGGGACAGGUUGGCUCAGCCUGGAAGUCAUAACCCAGUAGGAGCCAGCUUGACCUACCAUCCAGUUGGGGGGUUUGCAGAAAGAGUCAUAUGUAAUCAUCUCCGCUUGUUCUAUUAAAACUCCUUUCUGGUUUGUCA